rnacentral:rRNA from 1 species
UACGAGGGGAGCAAGCGUUGUUCGGAUUUACUGGGCGUAAAGGGCGCGUAGGCGGUCGUGACAAGUCACUUGUGAAAUCUCCGGGCUUAACUCGGAACGGUCAAGUGAUACUGUCGGACUAGAGUACAGAAGGGGGCAACUGGAAUUCUCGGUGUAGCGGUGAAAUGCGUAGAUAUCGAGAGGAACACCUGCGGCGAAGGCGGGUUGCUGGGCUGACACUGACGCUGGAGGCGCGAAAGCCUAGGGGAGCGAACGGG